UGAGUCUUUGUUUUCUUUCUUACAUCAUAUGUUUUAUCAAGUCAAAGUGUGUUUUUAGAGUCUUUUAGUUGUUUAUCGAGUCUCUACAGGUUUUAGGUUGCUUCGGAGGAAAACGAGCUGUUUUGGGGUAUAAACACACUUUUGGAGAUGCAGUUUCGUUUAGAAAUGUCAGACGUUUUUCCUCAGAUGGAAUACUUCCCACCGUUAGAUCUUUCUGCAUUUUUGACACAAGUUAUAUGAAGAUGUUAUCUUGAGUUUACAAGUGGUUUGAAGGAAAUCCAACGGUGCAUUCAAGAGUUAUACCUGAAUUAGUGAAGACAGGUCAUUCUGCCGAGC
rnacentral:lncRNA from 1 species